CACAUCUGCAGGUGUUUGUGUGUGACCAUCUGUGUCUGUACGAAGCUGAGCCUUCUGGGUCUUGCUGGCAACCCUUGGUCCUCUGUGACUUAUAGAAGCAUCACCCCAACCUCUACCUUCAUCUUCACGUAACGUCCUAAUGUCCAUCAAUGACAGACUGGAUAAAGAAAAUGUGGUACUUAUACACCAUGGAAUACUGUGCAGCCAUCAAAAAGAAUGAGAUCAUGUCCUUUGCAGGGACAUGAAUGGAGCUGGAGGUCAAUAUCCUUCACAAACUAAUGCAGGAACAGAAAACCAAAUAUCG
rnacentral:lncRNA from 1 species